rnacentral:rRNA from 1 species
GAUGAACGCUGGCGGCGUGCCUAAUACAUGCAAGUCGAGCGAACAGACGGGGAGCUUGCUCCUCUGACGUUAUCGGCGGACGGGUGAGUAACACGGGGAUAGCCUACCUAUAAGACUGGGAUAACUUCGGGAAACCGGAGCUAAUACCGGAUAAUAUAUUGAACCGCAUGGUUCAAUAGUUAAAGACGGUUUUUCUGUCACUAAUAGAUGGAUCAGCGUCCCAUUCGCUAGUUGGUAAGGUAACGGCUUACCAAGGCGACGAUGCGUAGCCGACCUGAGAGCGUGAUCCGCCACACUGGAUGUGAGGAACGGCCGCGACACCGACGGGAGGCCGCAGUCGGGACUCCUACGCAAUGCGGCAGUGGGUAAUAUAGGACCGUCGCGUAAGUGCUGAAGGUGCUAGGCUGGUUAAGUUCUGUAAUCAGGGGAGAACAAAUGCGUAAGUACCCAUGAUCAUAUUGACGGUACCUAAUGAAUAAGCCCCGGCUAACUCCGUG